GACGAACGCUGGCGGCGUGCUUAACACAUGCAAGUCGAACGGAAAGGCCCUGCUUUUGUGGGGUGCUCGAGUGGCGAACGGGUGAGUAACACGUGAGUAACCUGCCCUUGACUUUGGGAUAACCUCAGGAAACUGGGGCUAAUACCGGAUAGGAGCUCCUGCUGCAUGGUGGGGGUUGGAAAGUUUCGGCGGUUGGGGAUGGACUCGCGGCUUAUCAGCUUGUUGGUGGGGUAGUGGCUUACCAAGGCUUUGACGGGUAGCCGGCCUGAGAGGGUGACCGGCCACAUUGGGACUGAGAUACGGCCCAGACUCCUACGGGAGGCAGCAGUGGGGAAUAUUGCACAAUGGGCGGAAGCCUGAUGCAGCAACGCCGCGUGCGGGAUGACGGCCUUCGGGUUGUAAACCGCUUUCGCCUGUGACGAAGCGUGAGUGACGGUAAUGGGUAAAGAAGCACCGGCUAACUACGUGCCAGCAGCCGCGGUGAUACGUAGGGUGCGAGCGUUGUCCGGAUUUAUUGGGCGUAAAGGGCUCGUAGGUGGUUGAUCGCGUCGGAAGUGUAAUCUUGGGGCUUAACCCUGAGCGUGCUUUCGAUACGGGUUGACUUGAGGAAGGUAGGGGAGAAUGGAAUUCCUGGUGGAGCGGUGGAAUGCGCAGAUAUCAGGAGGAACACCAGUGGCGAAGGCGGUUCUCUGGGCCUUUCCUGACGCUGAGGAGCGAAAGCGUGGGGAGCGAACAGGCUUAGAUACCCUGGUAGUCCACGCUGUAAACGGUGGGUACUAGGUGUGGGGUCCAUUCCACGGGUUCCGUGCCGUAGCUAACGCUUUAAGUACCCCGCCUGGGGAGUACGGCCGCAAGGCUAAAACUCAAAGGGAUUGACGGGGCCCCGCACAAGCGGCGGAGCAUGCGGAUUAAUUCGAUGCAACGCGUAGAACCUUACCUGGGUUUGACAUGGAUCGGGAGUGCUCAGAGAUGGGUGUGCCUCUUUUGGGGUCGGUUCACAGGUGGUGCAUGGCUGUCGUCAGCUCGUGUCGUGAGAUGUUGGGUUAAGUCCCGCAACGAGCGCAACCCUUGUUCACUGUUGCCAGCACGUUAUGGUGGGGACUCAGUGGAGACCGCCGGGGUCAACUCGGAGGAAGGUGGGGAUGACGUCAAGUCAUCAUGCCCCUUAUGUCCAGGGCUUCACGCAUGCUACAAUGGCUGGUACAGAGAGUGGCGAGCCUGUGAGGGUGAGCGAAUCUCGGAAAGCCGGUCUCAGUUCGGAUUGGGGUCUGCAACUCGACCUCAUGAAGUCGGAGUCGCUAGUAAUCGCAGAUCAGCAACGCUGCGGUGAAUACGUUCCCGGGGCU
rnacentral:rRNA from 1 species